rnacentral:rRNA from 1 species
ACUCGAGUGGCGAACGGGUGAGUAACACGUGGGUGAUCUGCCCUGCACUCUGGGAUAAGCCUGGGAAACUGGGUCUAAUACCGGAUAGGACCGCAUGCUUCAUGGUGUGUGGUGCAAAGCUUUUGCGGUGUGGGAUGAGCCCGCGGCCUAUCAGCUUGUUGGUGGGGUAAUGGCCUACCAAGGCGACAACGGGUAGCCGGCCUGAGAGGGUGACCGGCCACACUGGGACUGANAUACGGCCCAAACUCCUACGGGAGGCAGCAGUGGGGAAUAUUGCACAAUGGGCGCAAGCCUGAUGCAGCGACGCCGCGUGAGGGAUGACGGCCUUCGGGUUGUAAACCUCUUUCAGUAGGGACGAAGCGAAAGUGACGGUACCUACAGAAGAAGGACCGGCCAACUACGUGCCAGCAGCCGCGGUAAUACGUAGGGUCCGAGCGUUGUCCGGAAUUACUGGGCGUAAAGAGCUCGUAGGUGGUUUGUCGCGUUGUUCGUGAAAACUCACAGCUUAACUGUGGGCGUGCGGGCGAUACGGGCAGACUAGAGUACUGCAGGGGAGACUGGAAUUCCUGGUGUAGCGGUGGAAUGCGCAGAUAUCAGGAGGAACACCGGUGGCGAAGGCGGGUCUCUGGGCAGUAACUGACGCUGAGGAGCGAAAGCGUGGGUAGCGAACAGGAUUAGAUACCCUGGUAGUCCACGCCGU